GGGCAGCCACAGCUCUGGGUAUUAUUCUGUGCCAAGGCCUCAGCACCCUCACAGGGAAGACUUUAUUCCAUAUAUCUAAGUUAAAUUUCCCCUCUUUCAGUUUGUACCUGUUUCACCUUGUCCUGUCACUACAGUCCCUGAUGAAGAGUCCCUCUCUGGCUUCCUUGUAGGCCCCUUCAGAUACUGGAAGGGUCUGUGAGGUCUCCAUACAAUCUUCUCUUCUCCAGGGUGAACAGACCCAACUUUCUAAGCCUGUCAAAAAGAAGAGGAGCAUGAGCUCCUCUCUUUUGCGUAGACUUCAGGAGUUGAGUUUUGUUUCCCAAACAAAGAUGCUCCCAGCACUCCUUUUUUUCCCAAGACCUCUUAAAGGUCCAGUGGUGGAACUAGAGAACAUCUCAGAUUACAUGAACGUGAGUCUGUUUGCUGAAACCAUUUUAGUACCGCUCCAGUCCACUUCAGUCUCUUCACAGCAUUAUAUCCUGAUCAGGCUUUUUGCUGAAGUUCAGCUGUUAAAAACUUAAACCUCCUUCAUAUUCCGCCAGGGUAUUCUCUUGUGUUUUGUGUCUGGCAGAAUGACUCUCCCAGUGGCCAAAACCACCAUGCCCUCAGCUUGCUUACUUUGGCAAAACCCUUAUUCCCUCAGACUGGCAUUGCAAAGGGCUGCUGAGAGGCAUCACAUUCUGUCCUGGCAGCCCUGGGCCAUUAUCCCAUUUUUCUCCUCCUUCCCUGGAAGCAUCUGCUGUAAACCAGGAAGAUGAGGGCACUUGGGCUGAGAACAUAGGGUAUUUCAGAUGGAAGUGGUCUAUGGCAGGCACCUUGUUCUCAGGCAUUCCAGGAAGGUUCUUUGGCAAACCCAUCUCAGUGCCGUCUUUACCUGCCCCUGCCUCUUCCACUCUCCUCAGGCUCCUGUCCAGCAAGGACAGUGUUCCCUCAGCUCCAGUAUUUGGUGUGUUGAUCCUGACAAGGUUUUCCCUUUUAAGGGACAAGUUGAGUAGCCCAGGUGUGUCGCACCUCUAAACAUGGGUCUCUACUAACUUCUCUCCUAAAAGUUGCUCUGACUGAAGUGUUAUUCCACCUCCUCCUCCAUUCUGAUGAUCAUUCUGGAAGGGGAUGGAAAACAGCAGGAUUGUGUAUGGUUGAAUGAGAAAACUGACAUAAGGCAAUGUGUACCAGAGCUAAUCUAUAAUUCAUCAUGAUCAUUCCAGGCUUUUAGAAGGCGGAGGAGAGCGAGGCGAGGGAGCCCUGAGAAAGGGUAUGGAGGCCCUGCACGUGGCUGCAGCCAGCGAGGGCUGUCACUUCCGAUGAGCACGGGCGGGCGGUGCCGGGCCACCAGGGAGAGCCGCGCUCCCAGUACCUGCUGAUGAGGAGGGGUUGCCUUUGCAGAUGACUAGAAGCAACCGUGGUGCUGACAUCUCAUUAUUUCCAGCUUUUUCCCUCACUUUCCGGUCGUUGCUAAUGUACCAGGCCCAAAUUCCUUUGUGUGUUACUGCCUCAGGGGCCUCUGGCAGCUCCUGUUUCUGGGGGAAGGAUGUCCAGUAGAGCCAGUGCUUACUGUUGGCUGGUUUAGACUGGCAAGACUAACCACUGACAGCCAUCAGGCAGAGAAGAGCUUGGAUCUCAGCCUGCUGGUGCUGCUUUCCUAUGGCUGGCAGAGUCAGGGAUAUGGCAAAUCAGGUGGUUUGGGAUUCAGUCUCCUCCUGAGGGAGAGAGAGUCUGCUCUGGCACUGUUCCUCUGGCUCUGUAGUAUGUUCUGACCGUGUCCGUGUUGUCAGUCCCGUGCAGGCUCUCUGGACAUGUCCCUGUAAAGCAGAUAAGGAAGAUUGGCAUCUCCCCAGAAGAGAGGGCUUGCCUGGACACAGCAGGGCUCCCUGGUAUUGCAUAGCUGUAGCUGUUCUCUUCCCAAAUGAGGUGACCACAGCCUGCGCCGCUCCGGUUACGUUUGCCCCAGCCGAGGCUGAGCUCAUGGAAAAUUGCGUCCUAGCUCCUGUGCUCCCUGCCAAGAUUAGUAGGUUUAAAAACUAACCGAUAACAUCUUUGUAAACUUGGAGUAAUUUCUUUAAAGCCUGCUGAUCCUUCCAGCCUGGAUUUUGGAGCUUUCCUAGAUAUCCAAGAGAGCCAAACAGGACAAUGGCAUCUGCCCUGAAAAAUCACCCAGGAGCCUCACAGUGCUUUCAACUAUUCCCGAGGGAGGAAAGAGGCUGAUGUUCGCCAAGGCCCUGAGGGGUGUGUUGGGAUCCUUCUCCCUGUUCCUAACCAGAUAGACGGCACACAACGACGCUCUGCGCGUAACUUAUAAUAAUCACCGGUUUUAUUUUUAAAAAAUUACAAUAGAAAAGUACCUUUAAACAUAUUUCCAAAAGCAGAGUAGACAAUGUGGAAGCUUCUCUCCUCUCCACGAGACAAAGUACAGGAAAUAGUUUGCUAAAAGAGUUAGUCCAUCGCUUGGGAACGCUGGUAUCGUUCCUUUUAGAGCCGCUCUGAGGUUUGUCUUGGAUUUGAUUUCUUCUCACAUCACUUUUAUCAGUCCCAUUUUUUACAGAAGACCCCAACGGGACAGUUUCUGAUCGUGAAAAAUCCCAUUUUCUCAUCCCCCUGUCCCACCCUGACUGCCAGAAUCUCAGCCAUCUUAUUUUGGCCCACCCACAGGACAAGAGGAAAGAGAAAGGAAAAGGUGAUGAUGUUUAACGAGGCCACGAACAGCUGGGAAAAACCGGCUAUGGCGAGGCCUGGGCAGCAGCUGAGCUCAGUGUUCCCUGCAGCUGGAAUGGAGACGGGGGGAAAGGCAAUGGAAGGAGAAGUUCUGCGCCUCCCUUUGCAAGAAAGUGAAACCUAAUAGAGGUCUGGGGUCAGUUUGCUCUGUUCUUUUUCCAAAUUCCUCCUGGAGCAAGGAGAACUCGUAUGUCAAGCAGUCUCUCUACUGGUACUCUAUGUCUGUAGAGGAUGUUGGCAGCCUCCCUUUCUCAUCUUUGCACAUGGAAACAUGGGAAUGCCGUGCAGGGAGCAGCCAGACCAGCGUAACAUCGGCACUAAAACCCCAGGCCAGGCCAGGCCAGGCUAGUGCAUAAUGGGAAGCCCCUCAGGACUUGUGUCCAACCUCGAGGAAGCUGGCAAACCAAGGAUUUGUCAGUAUGUUCUUUCAUACAGCAGUUUACGUUGCCUGUAACAGCUUGAAGCAGUCAUGGCAGGAGGAGGAGGAGGAGGAGGAGGCAAAUUGUCACCUUGCUACAUGUGUGGGCUGUCCGCCCAUCCCUGAUCCGAGCCGUUGUACCCCACGGAAGCUUUGCACAGCAGCUAUGAACGCAGCCCCAAGGUAAAAAAACACCGGAAGAAAGUUCCUGAUUGUCCUGCCUGCUUGUCAUUUGGUGCAACUGGGAAGAGAACAGUAAUACUGUAGUAUUUGCAGACGCCUUGCCAGCACGGCCAGAGCACAAUUCCUGUGCCAGAGGGAGCACAAUUCCUAUAAACCCACAUCGUGUGUGUCGACAUCCUCACACGUGAACAUCGUGCCUUUGACAUGCAGCUGAUGGGCCCAGGGGAUAAUAAGACUCUUCUGUAUGCAUCUCAAAAGUCAAGCACAAAACCUGUGGUCCGACCCGGUGUAAGAUUGUCCUCCUGAGGAGCUUUGGUACAAAAAUACUUGCUCUUGUUUUGGGUUUUUUUUUCCUUUGUUUUUUCUUUUUUUUGUAGUCUGCUUUCCUAUGGUUCCGUUUGAAAAGCCUUUUCAAACACUACAACAAUGCCUGUCAAACCAUGCUUUCGGGAGUAACACACUCUUCCUUACAAAUAUACAGUGUACAAGAGGAAAAUAUUAUUACUAGGUAUGUUUUUCUUUUUUCUUCUAGGAGAGCAGAUGUGUGAUAGAGGCUGUGGGAAAGUCUUGGAGGAAUCCAAACUUGUGUGAGGUUUUUUUCAAGCCUGAAACAACAAAGAGAGGUGUUAAAAAAAAAAAAGCAGCUGUGAUGGAGGAAAAAGGGCUGUGGUUAAUAUCUCUUCCUUAGUGGAAGGAAGGAAGGUAGGAGAGAGGGAGGCUUGUUUUGGAUAGCCACAUCAGGGCCAUGCUCUAAGGACAGUUAAUUAGCAGGAAAAGGGCAAGAUGGGAAAUGCCUGCGAGGAGAGACCGUCGCAUCCCAGGCAUUAAGAACCCCACUGAUCCCACUUUGUUCCUCGCAUUGGCUGUAGCCCCUGGGGUUUGAGCUGGGAAGCUGGGAGUUAAGUUCGAGUUGAAUUUUGCACUUAAGUGGAAUUCAGUCUCUGUUGAUCCAAGGCAGGAAGCAAGGACGGAGAUGAGAUUAGCGGGGGUAAUUCAAAGCCGAGAGGCAUUCCUUGGCUGUGGAAACUCUCACCCCAGAUAACAGUGAUAAAGGCGGGAAUGGCAGAGCCAUGUUUCUGCAGGGCAGCAGUUGGAGCAGCCCCAGGGUCGUGCCAACCUCGGGGCCCAUUCCCUGCCUAUUCGUUCAGGGAUAUUGUGUUGGCUUCCCCGCUCCUCUGCCCCCUUCCCAAAGCAGCCAAGUCCACGGGGUUGCGUCCUUACCAGCACACUGAAGUCCUGUGGAGAGCACAUCAACCCAGUAGCCGCCUUGGAAGACUCCGUUAAUACCCACAAGACUGACUGUAGGCCACCAUCACACACCUGAGACCUGUGGGAGGACGCAGCGGAGAGUGAGGGACGCUGGCACUGGGGACUGAGGUCAGUGUGCUGUGGGGAGGGGUGAUUGCACAGUGACCGGAGUCAGCACUUCCUGAGGGGACAGUUUGCAAGUUAGUGGUGUUCAGCCAAAGAUGGGGCUUGGUGAUCUCAGAGGUCUCUUCCAACCUAACUGAUUCUGUGAUUAGCCCCGCCCUGAUGGGCUCCAGGCAGCAAAUACAGACAGAGCCAGGCCCUCAGCCAAACCCUUACUGGGCUGUGCCCUUCCCAGCUGGAGGAGCCUGGAAGGGAAACAGGAGGUCUCUGACUCUCCAUCAUCGCCACCCACUGUGGCUCCUGGGCUGGUGGACCUGUUUCAAGGGAUUCAUCUCCCCUUCCAAAACAUAUCUCUGCUUACAUUUUAUCUGGAAACAUUGGCGUGUUGCAUAUUUUGGAAGAACCAUUGGUUCCCAAAGCCCUGCUGCUCCCUAUUUUUAUCUGCUGGACCUAAAAUAGUCAGUGAAUUCUUUAUGGAUCCAAGUCUGCGGCCGGCUGCAGCCAGGGCUGGGCCUCCUGCCCUCCCGGCUGAGUGACCUCGCGGCCACAGCACAAGGCCACAGAUGCCAGGCAGAUGGGCAGAGCAGUCACAUGUGAGCAUGGCAGCUGAUGCCAGAGCUUUGGAUCCACUGGCGUUUCUCCACAGGUGGGUGUGAAAGCAGGAGGCUUCCCAGCAGGGAUGGUUCCCAGCUAGGAUGGUCCAGGCAGGCUGCGAUUGCAGGGCAAGCGGUGCUCAGUGUCCACCGAGGCUCUUUUCCCUCUUCCAUUUGAGUCCCCUUUGUUUGUUUAUCCACAAAGGCCAAAGUUAUUUGCAGAGCAUGUCUUGCAAGGCUUUUUCCAUCCAAAGAGGUCCGAGAUGGAAUGGGAUUGGUCCUUCCCUCCUGCUGGGCAGCCGGAUGCUCAGUAAGGCUGUGCUUCUUGUUCUGGCAGCCCCACCAUCCCGGGCUGCCUGGAUAGUUUUCCUUAAGGUUUAAUGAGGUGAUUGUGUCGGGGCUGCCUUCUUUUCCAUCACAACACCCCCCUCUGGCAUGGUGCCUUUCCCUCCUGCCCCAGGACACGUAGGAAAGUGUUGGGGUGAGUCAUGGCAGGGACAUCCCCUUCUGGGGACAAGGAGAGACUUUGGGUGUCUGCUGAAAGGUGGCCACCCACCCUGAGCUGCUGGAGACCCCGGGAGUCACAGAGGGGGAAGCCCAGGGUAAAGGUGGAGGUGGCCCCCAGCCAGCACAGAAGGAUGGGAGUGGGACAGUGGCACUCACCCGGCAUUCAGCAGAACUGACGGGACUUCCAGCCCUGAGAACCAGCCUCGGAGGGAGGGAGCCAGCGCAUCUGCAAAGACAAGGGGGACACAAGGUGAGAAGGGGGUGGCUGCCUACCCUGGCAAGAUCAGGCCUCGUCUGGGCUCCCUUUUCCUGGCUUUUCCCAGGCACAGGGCGGAGGGCGGUUGGAACACCAGCAGUACAGCCAUCCCAGCGCCAAUUCCAACAGUAGCACUGGGGCUGAGCACAGCCCCGGGCAUCGCUGCUUCCAGCAGGAUGGAGCUGGGACAGCAGCACCAUGGUCCCACUGAGCAGGAGUGAGAUCCUUCUUAGCUCCUGCAAAGCCCACUUGAAACAGGGCGGAAAAUACCAGAUUCCAAAAUUUGGUGUGCAGGCACUCGGUGCUCUGCCAGGUAACUCCCAAGCCAUCCCCCCCAUCCAUGCUGCAGUUCCUGGUCCCGCUACUGUCUGCAGGAUCCAGCAAAGCAGCUCCAGUUUGGAUGGUGGCACCUGUCUCCAAUGCCCCACCACCAAACCCACAACACCAGCAGCUGCACAGGAGGAUGGGAAGGUGCCACCACCACCCUCCCCACCAUGCUGAUAUUUCACAUCAGAUAAUACUGCUUUUGUCUAACAUCAGGUCUCGGCCUGGGUUUUCCCAGAGGACCCUCAGAGCUUCCGUACGCUGCUGUUUCCUUGUCUGUGUGCUUCCCCGAGCAGGGCAGGUGCUGCCUGUUAGCAGUUAUUUGACAAGGCAUGUACGUAGCUGCAAUAAUAUUUACCAACGCUCUUCCUAUGAACAGCAGGGCCCAAAAAGCUGGAGUUUCAUCCAAAGGCUGCACAUGGUUUGUGCACUGAGCACUUUUCCUCACCCUCCUGCUCAAACCAGCCCCUGGCUGCUCCAGCUCCCAGUGAUGGUGGCUCUGGACAACCUGGCUCAAUCCCGGCGGGCCAAGGCCAAAAGCCUUUGGAAUGCAGUUUAUCUGGCAUCUCUCUUUCCAUGCUCUUGUUUCCUCCUGUUCACCACUGAGCUGGAGCCGGCAGCAAGGAGCAAAAGCUGGGAUGAUGUCCAGUACGGAUGCUGAAGAGGCAGGAGCAGAGCUGCCCCUGGAAAUGUGUGAGAUGCCACCACCAAGAGCCGACCCGCAAAGCCAACACGGGACUCGCCCACUGGGAAAACACAGGGUGAGCAAUGCUGUGGGGCUGAGAGCAUUGCUGAGGGAGCCAGGGCUGGGCUCAUUGUCUCCAAGAGGUUCAGUAAUCCCAGGGAUCCAGCAGAGGAGAGCGUGCAGCUCAUGCCUAUGUGCAACACCUGAGGUGAGGAACCGGCGUCUGCGCGAGAGAAGCUCUUCCAGAAGCAGAAACUGCACUCAUGGCAGGACAUUGCCAAGGUUUCUGCUGAGACCUCAUCCUGCUCCCAGGCACCAUGCCAGGCUUGCUGUCACCUGUCCCAGGUCCUCUCCAGCACCAGCAGCUGCCUUUGGGAACCCCCAGCAUGUGCCACCACACGGGUACCACUGCUUCCAGUUGGACCCGGUAUUCCCCUUCACCACCCCCUCACAGUAUUCCUGCUCCUUCCAGCAUCCAUAGGCCUGGCAUGCUACAUCCACCCGUGAUCUCUGCAUGACAUCACAUUCCCAGAAUAAGGUGUUCUCCCAAGGAUGGGGGCAACCCCAGGUGCCUGCCAACCCAAACCCUGCCGGCAGUGCAGGGGGUACUCACAGGGCUCCCGGGCGAUGAACUGAGGUACGGCGGUGGGGAGAGGGGUGCUGGGAUUUGGGGUGCCCACCAGCUUGUUCUUGGCCAUCUUGGUGUUGGCCUUGGCAAACUCCAGCCGCAGCGUUUGGGGGAUCUCGGGGUCGAAGCGGAUGCCCUGCGGGAAGGAAGGAGGGAAGGAGGCACGGCGGGUGGGCGAGCACCGCCGCGUGCCGGCCCCGCAGCAAAAAUAACUCCUCGUUAUUUAUGGGUUUUUUCAACUUCCAGCCCUGAAAUGAGCUAAUUUGCCGGGCCCCAAGGCAGCUCACAUUCCUCCGGCAUCUUUAGCAUCGGCACCAUAUUUGGCAGUCGGCAUCCCACAAGGCCGAGCUCUUAUCCAGAGGGAUUAGCGGAGCCAAAAAAAAAGUUUUACAUUGAAAAUGAAGACAAGGAAAAAAAACAACCCCAAACCAAAAUGCAGGGAGAGCUGGGGAGGAAUUAGAGAACCGGCUCCACACCGUUCUGCUUGUGACUAUUUUCAGGUACCUUCACAGAGUUGCUAAAAGAAAGUGAAAUUUGCCAUGGGGCCAGCUGGCAUGGGAGGUGCACAUCCCUGGGGUGAAGGAAUUCAGAGAGUAUCUGGGGACACAGAAACAAGGGGGAAAGGGAGAAAUGGAGUGGCUGGGCCAGGCACACUCACGUUCAGCGCGUUCUUUGCUGCCUCCGCCUCGGAGCGGCUGUCGAAGCUGACGAAGCCCACGGGCUGUGGAGGAGGGACAGGAGGCGUCAGUCAGGCUGGUGGGGAGCAGAGGGGGGAGCCCCUCACCCCAGGGAAUGGUGGUACCAGGGAACGGUGGGAUGGUUGCCCCAUUUGGAGCGGCUCCUACCUGCUUGGAUGUGAGUUUGAUGAGAGACCCUUCGUACCCCUGCAAGGAAAGGAUAAAAAAGGGUGUUUGGUGGAGAUCCCCACAACUAAAUAGUAAUAACUGAACUAACUGACUGAAUAAGACUUUCUGAGGAGAACCAGUGGGCUCCCAGAUCCCAGCAAGUGGUUUGGGGCCAUGAGACUGGGGCAGGGCCAGCCCCGUGCUUUCAGCCUCCCUCUCCCUCCCCAGUUCAAUACCUUAAAGGGCCUGAAGAGCAGGUAAAGUUCCCGGGGCUUGAUGUCCAGAGGCAACCCACUGACAAAGAGUGUCCUCACCUGGAAAAGAAGAAAGGAGGUUCCUGGGGACCCUCUCUCAUCCCUAACUUGAUGAUACACCACGCUUCCCACAGCCAGAGGGACAAUGCCAGCUCAAGGGGAACCUCCUGGGCAGACAAAAGCCUUAAGCCAUGCUUGAGUGAUGCUGAAUUUUUGGGAUGGGUGUCCCCAUCCUUCAGGUGGUCAUAGAGGAAGCUGCUAAGGCACCAUGGAAAGGUAACAGAGACCUGUCCUCACCCCACCAAGUGCUCUCCAGGACAAAAAACUCGCAGAAUCCCAGCACCUUCCUACCCCAGCAAACAGGAUUUCUCACUCCCGUGAUGCAGGACUCCACAGACAAUGCCUACUGUCUCAGUUUAAUUGCAGCAGCUCAUUAAGGACUGGGAGAAGCAAACUGCCAACUCUUCCUCCUGGAGGAAUGGCCCUGGUUUGGAGGGGGUUGGAUUUAAGCAGCUUGUCCCUGGUCUGUAAAAGUCACCUUUUAAAGGGGUUUUAACCCUUUCUGGGUGUAUCUAAUGUUUGUCAUGGUGCAGCAUUCUCAAACUUGGUGUGUUUGGGAGAAAUCCUGCUCCCACCACCCUGAGGGGGAAUGUGGAGUUCCUCAGGGAUGGGCAAACCCCGUGUGGGAAUGGUUUUGCUUUACAACCAGCUCGUAGCUAGGAGAGCAGUGUGGGGAAGUGACCCUGCUGUUCCUCUCCUCAUCCCCAAAAUCUCAUCCAAACACUUUGGGCUGGAGGAGGGGAAAACUUCAGUGUAUUUUAUUUAAUUUUUUUGGCCAGGCACCCUGCCUGCCCCAUUCCCUGGGAAAGAGACAUGGGAAACAGCCAGAAACAGCCAGCCCAGGCCUAUUCUUUUGCUGACAUUUCUUCUUUCUCUUGCAGAUAAGCUAUCUCCCCCAUCUCCCAGCCUGGGAGCAGCAAACAUUCCUGCUUUGUAGAACAAAACCUCUGGCUGACCUAUAUCCAUUAAAUAACAAAAGCCAGGUCUGCCUGAGCACAGCUGCUAUCCAGGGAAUUGGCUCUCCAGACACAUCCACCUUCCCAGGUGGGUUUGCAUCCCGAGGAGGCCGAGCAUCCCUGCAUGGUGUCUCCUGUCAUCAUCCCUGGAGCCAUCCCUGGCUUCCUGCCUCUCUUCUCCCUGGGGAGCUUCAGGAAACACCAGAGGCGCUGGCCACUGCUCCGCUGGGGGGGAAUUGGGAAAACCUGCUGCCAGUUUGCCGCAUCCCUGAAAUCCAAACCCUACAUGCCCAAGCCCGCCAGACCAUUUAUCUCCAAAGCAACAUGGAAGAGAGACAGGAGAGAUGAAAGAUCCCAAGGAACCCUCCAAAAUUCAGCCCCACAGAGGAAGGGCUUCUCUAAUGACUUUGUUUUCUUUGCAAGUUCAAACGCGGGUCGGCCAAGUUUGAAUCUGUAAGAUUAUACAGCGGCAAGAGGGAGAAGGGCUCCGAAGGAUCCCCCAGCUGGAUUCCAGCCCCAAAAGGGUGUUUGGGGCCUGGGACAGGGGAUGGAUAUGAGCUCCUGGGUGCUCCCCAUUUGCACCCUGUAAAUGUACCCAGCCCCAGGGAUGUUUGAGUAGGUCCUACAUAAACAGCAUCCUUUUGCUGGGUAACAAGCAGGUGGGACUGGCAGAGCAAGGGAGCAUCCUUGGGGAUAAUCCCAGCAGGCUGGGCAGAUAUCCUUUUGCCAAGGGAAAGAUUCUAGGCAGAAAUAUUACUCCUGCCCUUAAAUGGAAGGGGAGCUUUGGCCCGCAGGGAGGUGCUCGAGGUUUUCUUGUGCUGAGAGAUCCCAGGGAUUCAGUCCCCAUCCUCUACCAGAAACACUCCUAGGGCAAAAUCCUGCCCUGAAGCAGGAAAAAAAAAAAAAAAAGGCUUAUCAGAGAAGUUGCCAGGCAGCAGGGAAGUAUAUGUUCUUCCAUAGGGAAGAAUUACUCUUUCUGGAAAGUGAUCAGGCAUGGCACCUGCUCCCAAAGGAGUCCUGGGAUGGAGCCAGACCUACAGCUCUUGAGCAAGGAUUAAAGGGCGCUGGAGCAUGGGAUUCCCCCAGCCCAAACCCCACGGUCUUUUUGGACAGCCUGAGCAGCUUAAUUUCAGUUCUGCUGUACAAACAUUUUUCAGUUUCUUUUUGGUGGAGCAUUUCUUCAUUUCUCCUUCUUAAAAUUUGGGGUGAAACCAAAGAUGUUUUUUAAGUCAGGAGGAGCUCAAAGGUAA